rnacentral:lncRNA from 1 species
CAAUUGAUAUUUUAUCGUAUGUUUUUCUUUGUUGUGAUGUUAUGCUAUUGUUUCAGAAAAAGGGAGAAGGUUUGGAUCCAUUAAAACGUUUAAUCCGCUGCAAAUGUUUGCACCUGUCCUAAGUCAGGAAUCUGAUGUACAGUAGUUGUCGUUUGUUUAUGUAAUAUAUACGUGUUUCUCGUUUCUCGUUUUGUUUAUAUAGAUUAGACCGUUGGUUUUCCCGUUU